GACGAACGCUGGCGGCGUGCUUAACACAUGCAAGUCGAACGGAAAGGCCCUGCUUUUGUGGGGUGCUCGAGUGGCGAACGGGUGAGUAACACGUGAGUAUCCUGCCCCUGACUUUGGGAUAACUUCAGGAAACUGGGGCGAAUACCGGAUAGGAGCUCUUGCUGCACGGUGGUGGUUGGAAAGUUUCGGCGGUUGGGGAUGGACUCGCGGCUUAUCAGCUUGUUGGUGGGGUAGUGGCUUACCAAGGCUUUGACGGGUAGCCGGCCUGAGAGGGUGACCGGCCACAUUGGGACUGAGAUACGGCCCAGACUCCUACGGGAGGCAGCAGUGGAGAAUAUUGCACAAUGGGCGGGAGCCUGAUGCAGCAACGCCGCGUGCGGGAUACCGGCCUUCGGGUGGUAAACCGCUUUCGCCUGUGACGAAGCGUGAGUGACGGUAAUGGGUAAAGAAGCACCGGCUAACUACGUG
rnacentral:rRNA from 1 species